CCUANGGGGGGCAGCAGUGGGGAAUAUUGCGCAAUGGGCGAAAGCCUGACGCAGCGACGCCGCGUGUGGGAUGAAGGUCUUCGGAUCGUAAACCACUGUCAGAGGGGACGAAUGCCGGGCAUUCACUGCGACCCGGCUUGACGGUACCCUCGGAGGAAGCACCGGCUAACUCUGUGCCAGCAGCCGCGGUAAUACAGAGGGUGCGAGCGUUGUCCGGAAUCACUGGGCGUAAAGGGCGUGUAGGUGGCUUGGUAAGCCGCGUGUGAAAUCCCGGGGCUCAACCCCGGAACGGCACGCGGGAGUGUCAGGCUAGAGCAUGGUAGAGGCGAGUGGAAUUCCUGGUGUAGCGGUGGAAUGCGUAGAGAUCAGGAAGAACACCGGUGGCGAAGGCGGCUCGCUGGGCCAUUGCUGACACUGAGGCGCGAAAGCGUGGGGAGCAAACAGGAUUAGAUACCCCANUANUC
rnacentral:rRNA from 1 species